rnacentral:rRNA from 1 species
GAUGAACGCUGGCGGCGUGCCUAACACAUGCAAGUCGAGCGGAGAUGAUGAAGUUUCGAUGGAUUCAUCUUAGCGGCGACGGGUGAGUAACACGUGAGUAACCUGCCUUCUUCUGGGGAAUAACACAGAGAAAUUUGUGCUAAUACCGCAUAAAGUCACGACUGGGCAUCCAGAUGUGACCAAAGGAGCAAUCCGGAGGAAGAUGGACUCGCGUCCGAUUAGGUAGUUGGUGAGGUAACGGCCCACCAAGCCUACGAUCGGUAGCCGAACUGAGAGGUUGAUCGGCCACAUUGGGACUGAGACACGGCCCAGACCCCUACGGGAGGCAGCAGUGGGGAAUAUUGGGCAAUGGGGGAAACCCUGACCCAGCAACGCCGCGUGAAGGACGAAGGCCUUCGGGUUGUAAACUUCUUUGAUCAGGGACGAAACAAAUGACGGUACCUGAGGAACAAGCCACGGCUAACUACGUG